rnacentral:rRNA from 1 species
UACGUAGGGUGCGAGCGUUGUCCUGAAUUAUUGGGCGUAAAGAGCUCGUAGGCGGUUUGUUGCGUCUAUCGUGAAAACCUGCAGCUUAACUGUGGGCUUGCGGUGGAUACGGGCAGACUUGAGUUCGGUAGGGGAGACUGGAAUUCCUGGUGUAGCGGUGAAAUGCGCAGAUAUCAGGAGGAACACCGGUGGCGAAGGCGGGUCUCUGGGCCGAUACUGACGCUGAGGAGCGAAAGCGUGGGUAGCAAACAGG